AUGACAGAGGCCAUCAAUGAUAAGUAUUUGGGUUUGCCUGCUACCCUGGGUUUGGAUAAAAGCGACAGCUUCCAAUAUUUGAUUGAUCGUUUAAUCUUGAGACUUACUGGAUGGAAAGAAAAGUGCCUGUCUUCUGGAGGUAAGGAAGUGCUUAUUAAGUCUGUUGCACAAGCCAUACCAUCUUAUGCGAUGUCGGUCUUCAAAAUUCCUAAAAAAAUUUGCAAAGGAAUCACAGAUGCGAUAUCACGUUUUUGGUGGGGUGAUGAUGCGUCACACAAGAGAAUGCACUGGUUUGCUUGGUGGAAGAUGUGCAUACCGAAGAGCAGAGGAGGUAUGGGUUUUCGAGACAUUCACUACUUCAAUCUGGCUCUACUGGCAAAACAAGCAUGGAGGCUUAUUGAUGAUCCUGAGUCACUAUGUGCAAAGAUUCUCAAAGCAAAGUAUUACCCAAAUGACGAUCUUAUGAAUGUGGGGUUGAGGAAGAAGGCCUCCUACACAUGGCAAAGUAUAAUGGCAGGAGUGGACACCUUGAAGCACGACAUAAUCUGGAGAGUGGGCGAUGGACAAAAAAUUAAAAUUUGGGAAGAUUGCUGGAUCCCACAAUCACCAUCUAAAAAGUUAUCUCCACUAGAGGUAACCACUUGUUAUCCCGUGUAUCUGAGCUAA
rnacentral:rRNA from 1 species